AUACGUAGGGAGCAAGCGUUAUCCGGAUUUACUGGGUGUAAAGGGCGCGUAGGCGGGAGUGCAAGUCAGAUGUGAAAUCUGGGGGCUCAACCCCCAAACUGCAUUUGAAACUGUACUUCUUGAGUGAUGGAGAGGCAAGCGGAAUUCCUAGUGUAGCGGUGAAAUGCGUAGAUAUUAGGAGGAACACCAGUGGCGAAGGCGGCUUGCUGGACAUUAACUGACGCUGAGGCGCGAAAGCGUGGGGAGCAAACAGGAUUAGAUACCCUGGUAGUCCACGCUGUAAACGAUGAAUACUAGGUGUGGGAGGACUGACCCCUUCCGUGCCGGAGUUAACACAAUAAGUAUUCCACCUGGGGAGUACGAUCGCAAGAUUGAA
rnacentral:rRNA from 1 species